rnacentral:rRNA from 1 species
CGCGGCCUACCAUGCAAGUCGAGCGGUAGCACAGGGCAGCUUGCUCCUGGGAUGACGAGCGGCGGACGGGUGAGUAAUGUCUGGGAAACUGCCUGAUGGAGGGGGAUAACUACUGGAAACGGUAGCUAAUACCGCAUAACGUCCAAGACCAAAGAGGGGGACCUUCGGGCCUCUUGCCAUCAGAUGUGCCCAGAUGGGAUUAGCUAGUAGUGGGGUAAUGGCUCACCUAGGCGACGAUCCCUAGCUGGUCUGAGAGGAUGACCAGCCACACUGGAACUGAGACACGGUCCAGACUCCUACGGGAGGCAGCAGUGGGGAAUAUUGCACAAUGGGCGCAAGCCUGAUGCACCAUGCCNCGUGUAUGAAGAAGGCCUUC